rnacentral:rRNA from 1 species
UACGGGGGGGGCAAGCGUUGUUCGGAGUUACUGGGCGUAAAGGGCUCGUAGGCGGCCAACUAAGUCAGACGUGAAAUCCCCAGGCUCAACCUGGGAACUGCGUCUGAUACUGGAUGGCUUGAAUCCGGGAGAGGGAUGCAGAAUUCCAGGUGUAGCGGUGAAAUGCGUAGAUAUCAGGAGGAACACCGAUGGCGAAGGCAGGUCUCUGGGCUGAAACUGACGCUCAUGCACGAAAGCGUGGGGAGCAAACAGG